GGGCUCAUAGUAAAGUGGUAUUACGCAGCAUUCGCAUUGCUGAAGCUCGGGUCCGAUUCCCGAUGAGUCCA
rnacentral:tRNA from 1 species